CUGUCUCUAUCUAUAUUUCUUUCCUCAUUUAUCCAUAUCGUAUUUUCGCGGCAGACCCAAAAAGAAAAUGGGGGGGAGUGAGAGGUGUGGAGGUGUGGAGCUGUUUUGCUGCGCAGCAACAGGCUUUGAACUCCACCCACUCCCCUGCUGCUGACAAAUCCCGAGAGAGACUUGCAGGAUGGUCAUGAUUGUCUCCUUGCUGCGAACUUCUCUUGCUGCUGUUUCCCUCUGUCACUUUCAUUCUCUAUGCACCUUGUCCUCUCUCUCUCUUUUCUCUCUCUCUCUCUCUCUCUCACUCUCUCUCUAGACUUCUGACUAGAUGGGGUGGCAGAUAGUGAUGAGCCAGCAGUGGCCAUGCUCGGCUGCUUUAGCUAAUGGAACUCUCCUGUCUCUACAAGGCUUCACAAUGUAGUCCGGGACCAGGACCUUAUCUCAUCAUCUGUGUGCGUGUGUGUGUGUGUGUGAGAUAGAGAGAGAGAGAGAGAGAGAGAGAGAGAGAGAGAGAG